rnacentral:rRNA from 1 species
AGGGAAUCUUCCACAAUGGGCGAAAGCCUGAUGGAGCAACGCCGCGUGUGUGAUGAAGGGUUUCGGCUCGUAAAACACUGUUGUAAGAGAAGAAUGACAUUGAGAGUAACUGUUCAAUGUGUGACGGUAUCUUACCAGAAAGGAACGGCUAAAUACGUGCCAGCAGCCGCGGUAAUACGUAUGUUCCAAGCGUUAUCCGGAUUUAUUGGGCGUAAAGCGAGCGCAGACGGUUAUUUAAGUCUGAAGUGAAAGCCCUCAGCUCAACUGAGGAAUUGCUUUGGAAACUGGAUGACUUGAGUGCAGUAGAGGAAAGUGGAACUCCAUGUGUAGCGGUGAAAUGCGUAGAUAUAUGGAAGAACACCAGUGGCGAAGGCGGCUUUCUGGACUGUAACUGACGUUGAGGCUCGAAAGUGUGGGUAGCAAAC